GUAGGGUGCGAGCGUUAAUCGGAAUUACUGGGCGUAAAGCGUGCGCAGGCGGCGGCUCCAGUCAGGUGUGAAAUCCCCGGGCUUAACCUGGGAAUUGCGCUUGAUACUAGGUCGCUAGAGUGUGGCAGAGGGGGGUGGAAUUCCACGUGUAGCAGUGAAAUGCGUAGAGAUGUGGAGGAACACCGAUGGCGAAGGCAGCCCCCUGGGUCAACACUGACGCUCAGGCACGAAAGCGUGGGGAGCAAACAGGAUUAGAUACCCUGGUAGUCCACGCCCUAAACGAUGUCGACUGGGUGUUGGGGAAGGAGACUUCCUUAGUACCGCAGCUAACGCGUGAAGUCGACCGCCUGGGGAGUACGGUCGCAAGAUUA
rnacentral:rRNA from 1 species